ACACUGAACCGGGUUGUAUCACUUAGUAGUGAGUACACUAGGGUAGCUGGGUCAUCUCCAAAUGGUAACUGAGUGUUUGCUCCAGCAGGAUUGAAGGAGUCACUGGGGAUGAAGAUCACUGCUCAGGGGCUGACGACCACUCAUCUUUCCGGAGAAGCGUCCUCAUGGUGCAGGCGGUCAAACCUCCACCUCUUUGAAGAGACCAAGCAGCUUGAUGACUGACUGGUUCUUUAUACUCAAGACCUCGUCCCGGUGCAGAGGACGGACCUAAGGCCCGCAGCGCAGCCGACUAGAGACUCCAUGUGGAACCGGUUCAAUUAAGUUGACCUCUCCUUCAGGCGACUUAAAGGGAGACCAGAUGUGCGGCAGCUGGGUGUCAUGGUGCAGAGACCCAACGCUGUACUGAACUACACCAGUGUGUCCUACUCCCAUAAACCCUGAGGAUCCCUGGAUGGCUACAACAGCACAUUAAUCCACACCCAACAUCAACACGCAGUGCACACUCUAUAUAGCUUGUAAGUCCGCCCUUUGCGGCGGGACCUCGUGAGAUCGUAAGAUAUGACUGGGUUUCAAUGGAGAGAAGGUAAUUAUUUUCUCCAUUUUAUGUUGCACCACAUUUUGGGGGAAGAAUGUUUGAAUCAAUCUUUGUCAUUUAUUUCUGUACUCCAUAUCUGUAAUCCCAGCUGUUGUAUUUUAACACGGUAGCUGGGAACCCUCUUCAUAGGGAGCGACUAGAGGGACGAGGCUGGAAGCAAACCUGAGCCUGGAUCUUAACCUUCUUUCUAAACCUAAUGCCGCAAUUUAACCGCAAAUAAAGUGAGGCCUAAAGUAACUUGACUCUCUUACCUAAACUUCCUUGCCUAAACUCGCUUGUCUAAACUCGCUUGCAUAAAACCUAAACUCGCUUGCAUAAAACCUGAACUUGCUUGGCUAAACUCGCGUCGCUUGCUAAUACCUGAACUUGCUUGCCUAAACUCGCUUGCCUAAUACCUGAACUCGCUUGCCUAAACUCGCUUGCCUAAACUCGCUUGCAUAAAACCUAAACUCGCUUAGCUUGACUCGCUUGCCUGUACUCGCUUGGCUAAACUCGCUUGCAUAAAACCUAAACUCGCUUGCAUAAAACCUAAACUCGCUUAGCUUGACUCGCUUGCCUGAAGUCGCAUGCCUUAUAUCUGAAGUCGCUUGCCUAAAACCUAAACUUGCUUGUCCAAACACGUUACACAAAGUUAAAAAUCCAUAAUCUUUAACCCAAACCAGACUUGUCCCUGGGUCGCUCCACUUUAAUUUAGAAGUUUCUUCUUUUACCUCAUCUGCGUUUUGAGUUUCAUUCUUUGAGGGCUUGAAGUGCUUUGGAGGAUAUUUGAACCUUUGUUUGCCGCAUCAACAAACAUGCUUUAUCUUUACCCAUUUUAUUUUGGAUUGCAUUUCUAUGUGUAAUCCGGCCAAAUGUUCAGUCUCCUUACAUGUAAUGUCUAUGGUCUGACGAUAAUCUGACCUCUUCAUGAAGCAGAAUGUGUGUGAAUGUUGUCCCGUGAGCUCCAGGGUCUCUGUGGGCCUGUCAACGUCUCUUUAGCAAAAGGUUGGAGAGUGAAAUUCCUUUUUGUGCCAUUUUCAUGUGUUCCUGAGUAUUUCAGACCUGUGGUGUUUCACAUGAGACCUUAAUGGGAACUUUUCUUUUUCUGCCUGCAUACGUAAUACCUACAUUAGUAGGGUGAUCACUGUUGAUCCCAAUAUUGAUCAUUAACCACCUCAUUCUUUGGGAUUACAAAUCAUGUAAUUUAUGAGCAUAUUUGCAAAUGCCUCCAAAUAUCAGAUUGUGUAAAAACGAAUGAAAUGUAACCUGCUUGAUUUAAAGAAAAUAAAACAUCCAAAUAUUAUAAA